AGCUUCCAACACCCAGCCGUUGCUGGGCACGAUCUAAAUACCUGCCCAGCCGGGACCCACAGCUGCCGGGGGGAAUCAAGUCAGGGAAGGACGGUCCCACGGAUCUUUCGAGCCACUGACGGUCUCUGGUUAGGCGACUUUGGCGUCCUUAGAGCAAAGAAGCUUUCCUAUUCUCAAAAGUUCUGGCCCUGGGCCCUUGAGCCCGGGGGAUACCGGGAAGGCUGCGGAAGGGGAGGAACUAGAAGCUGAGGACCGGACUCCAACAAAACUGCAAGAGUCUGUGGUUGCAUCCCCACCUCGCCAAAUCCUCCCGCGUGAGCGUAGGCUCCUCCCGCUUUCUAUUGGAUGGAGGCAAAUACCGGGCAACCGAUGUCUCAAAGACCAAAACCACCCCCAAGUCCUCCCUGAGAGUAGUAAUUUGCUGUUAAUGUGGAGGAACAUUCUAACUCGGAAUAUUAACUGCCGCUGCUUUCGGGGAGCCUUUGUGUCUGGGGAGAGGCGAAGAAGAGGGGUGCUUCAAGUAAAAAUGUGGAGCUGGAAUGGCCCGGAGCCACCCUGACCAGCACUGACGAGGUAUCCCGGCGGAGGCCACUUAGGAAACCGCGCCUGAUAAGAAAACAUAACUUUUGGUCUGAAAUGGUGAAUCCUAGCUACAAGUCAAACUAAUACUUGCCUGAAUUGUUUUUUCUGGUCACUCAACACAUCUGUCCUUGCUGAACUUGCAAGCCUUGAAACCUCAAUCAACACUCAAAGAAUGCUUUGGCCCUUGAAAAGAAAAAUGUGAUGACUAAUGACUCAUUUCAUACCAAUUACACCUGUAGGAAGCCCAAAUGUUCUGCAGCAGAACAUCAUGACCAUCACUUACUGGAUUGCCUGCAUCAUGCCCCUCUGAACACACUAUGAAGUAAGAAGCUGAUGAGCUUACCAAUAAUGUGUCACGACUUCUCUGACCUUCAAAAUUUAGUUCUUCACACACUUGAAAACAACCAAGAAGCCUUUCCAAGCCACAUGAGCAAAAGCAUCUCUCUCUAAUUCAAGAACAGAAUUGCAGGUUCCCAGGGCCAAGAAAUUUUGUUGGUUGCUUUAAGAUAAAGCAGACAUUCAAGAAGCAAAAACUAGGAUCUAAUCUUUGCUUCAGGUUUGGAUGAUUUCAACUCUCUCACAUAUAUGGCUCUUCUAAGACCUUAUUCUCUGAAUGUUUGUUUAUGGGGUACCAAAAAUAUAUACCCCAGACUUCACUGUGCAGCAUCUGCCAUAUUCUCCUGAGAUUUCCAGAACAUGUCCUCUUAAAAGACAAAAACAAGAAAGUCUUUUCUCUACUUCAGUCUAAAUCCUCUGAUCACAUAAGGCUUAAUUGCAGGAAGAAAAGCUUGGAGAGGAUCCAGGAAACCCAAUAUCCUAAACUAGUUUUUUGUGACAGCUUCU